rnacentral:lncRNA from 1 species
UAUGAAGAUGCAAUAAAAGUAUUUAUCAUUAGAUAUGUUUUAUCUCUUAUGUCUCCACCAUGUUGUGAAUGAAGAAUAUCAGGAAACAAGUGUGGGGGAGACACUCGAUGACUGAAACGAAUGAAUUUUCGUGCAACAGUUAAAAUAUUUGAAUGGAUAUGACAUGAAGACCAAGCUUGGUGAAGUGGACCCUGAGGGGCCACUUGCUAGGGGCGGCCGCCCAAUACCUUGGCCGCCCACCCAGGGGAUGAGCCCAGCUAGUUCCUGCUUCGACCACGGCCAGGUAUGAUCCCCUUAUGUUACAAAUCUUUAGCUUGAUCGUGUUGUUUCGAUUCGGAAUGAAAUAUCUUGAAUUAAAUCACCUCAUAUACAUAUAUAUGUUGAGAAGGUAUUUUAUUUUAAUCAUGACCACAAGAUAGACUCACACCAUGAUAAUUCCAGGGAAUUCCUAUUGGUGUUGGGAACUUUAACUAUAGGGACCCCAUAUCACUUAAGUUGUUGUGGAAAGAUAGUAUGAAUUAUGAGAACUUGAUUUCUGGCGUCUAAUCAUUUGGAGAAUUUCUUUUCAAAAGAAUCUAAAAAUUGUUAGCUACACUUCUCCUAUGUAGAAAAAUUAAUAUCCUACUAGAGCCAUACAUGAUACACAUACUGAAAACUUGCUCACAAGCUACUUGUUUUGUAUUGAUUUUUGUCAAACAUUGUUGACCUAUGUUGAGAGGAUUAUUAUGGUCCCAAGACCAAGACCACAUACACCCACAUAUAUCUGCCAUUCCUACACUAGGAAUGCGCACAAACAUGCCUUUUCAUCCACAAAAUGUUUUACUCCAACACUAGGAAAAAACACAAAAAGAAUCUUGUUAGGAAUAAUUGAUCUAAGUUCUUUAAAAGUCUUUCUAAAAAAAUUUCCUAGUUAUAGAAGGGAGGAAUGUGGCUAUGCGAAAUAAAAGUAUUGGAAUAGAAGAAAGAAAAAGAAGAAUAAAAGAAAAGAAAGAAAAUAUAGCCCAUACCCUCCUUUGCAAAGACCAUUAGUGUUUUAAAGGAAGAAAGACAUUCAUCAAAGAGCAAAGUAUAAUUAGGAUUAGCCACUAUAAAUUCCACACACAUGCACUUCUUGAUCUAGGAGUAUGCUAUUCCUCUCUAUGGAUCUGAGUUUUGACUUAGCGACACAUACAAGGUAAGUAUGUUGUUUCCUUAAAUUACCUUCAACUCCAUAUAAGGCUCUAUAGAAUAGGAUACAUAUAAGGCAUACAUCAUACAUGCCUUGGUGAGUUCCACAAAAUACCACUACAAUGAGUGAUUCGAGUGCGCUACAUGAUGGAGAAGGGUAAACUAAGUUUUUCUUUGCAAAAAUAUGAUAAAACUCCAAGUGACAGAACUGAAGGAAAAGGGAGCUCUACUUCAUACUUUUCCAUGCUCAACUUCCCAAAGUUUUGUGGUAGAUACUUUAAAUCUCACAGUGCAAGUAUGAUUAGGAAUAAAUCUACUAGUGAUGUCUUGGUUUGAGGUUAUGCUUAAAGUAAUCCAUCCUUUAACCCAAG